rnacentral:lncRNA from 1 species
GCGAGUUAGUUAGUAAUGUAUGGCAUCACGGUCUUCACCUCUACACCAGGGUUAAACUCCAUGAGACCUGAUGGGGGCUGUUGGCUAGGGUGAGUGGCAGGGCGUCUAAUUGAAACUGUCCAUAUCUUUUCCUCAUUCCCUCUGAAUACCCAGGGAAACAUCCCGAAUGGCUUUCCCUUCAAUUAGUCUCCAUUUCCAUCAGUCACUUACGACCUCUAAAAUAUAUAUAAGAUGAGUAGAGGAGAAGAUGAGUGGAGGAGAAGAUGACUGGAGGAGAAGAUGAGUGGAGGUGAAGAUGAGUGGAGGAGAAGAUGACUGGAGGUGAAGAUGAGUGGAGGAGAAGAUGAGUGGAGGAGAAGAUGACUGGAGGUGAAGAUGAGUGGAGGAGAAGGUGAGUGGAGGGGAAGAUGAGUGGAGGAGAAGAUGACUGGAGGUGAAGAUGAGUGGAGGAGAAGAUGAGUGGAGGUGAAGAUAGGUGGAGGAGAAGAUGAGUGGAGGUGAAGGUGAGUGGAGGUGAAGAUGAGUGGAGGAGAAGAUGAGUGGAGAAGAUGAGUAGAGAAGAUGAGUGGAGGUGAAGAUGAGUGGAGGAGAAGAUGAGUGGAGGAGAAGAUGAGUGGAGGAGAAGAUGAGUAGAGGAGAAGAUGAGUAGAGGUGAAGAUGAGUGGAGGAGAAGAUGAGUGGAGGAGAAGAUGAGUGGAGGAGAAGAUGAGUGGAGAAGAUGAGUGGAGGAGAAGAUGAGUGGAGGAGGAGAUGAGUGGAGGAGAAGAUGAGUAGAGGAGGAGAUGAGUGGAGGAGAUGAGUGGAGGAGAAGAUGAGUGGAGGAGAAGAUGAGUGGAGGAGAAGAUGAGUGGAGGAGGAGGAGGGAAAAAGGAGUAAUGAUUAGGGACCAGUAGUAAUGCGUGGUGGGAGGGGCGCUGGAUGAGCGGAUGAAGGGUGAUGAUAAAACAUUCAUUAACGGGACGUAAAACCACACGUUAAAGACGAGGGCCAUCCAUUAUUAUUUCAGAUCUACCAGAGUGAGUGUAGGCAGCUUGGGUAAAAAGCAGAGAUUGUCACACAUGAAUGGCACCUCCUCUCUCUCAGACAAAGAUAAUGCUAUUAGCUGAUUAAUUAGACUCCUGUGGAUCAUGUUUAUGA